rnacentral:rRNA from 1 species
UACGAAGGGGGCGAGCGUUGUUCGGAAUUACUGGGCGUAAAGGGCGCGUAGGCGGCCCCUUUUGUCGCGUGUGAAAGCCCCGGGCUCAACCUGGGAGGUGCGCGCGAAACGGGGGGGCUUGAGUUCGGGAGAGGAGCGUGGAAUUCCCAGUGUAGAGGUGAAAUUCGUAGAUAUUAGGAAGAACACCAGUGGCGAAGGCGGCUCACUGGCCCGGUACUGACGCUGAGGCGCGAAAGCGUGGGGAGCAAACAGG